AAGCAUUCUGACCUAAAUGGAUUGAAAACCUUCUAUGUUUAUUGUGGAUGCAGGCAAACUGCUGUCCUUUUGACUCUGGUUCUAUUUGACAUCCUCUUGUGAGCAAGGAAGGAAAACCUUGUGCGGGCUAUUGAGCAUGAAUCAAAUGGCAAUACUACUACUGCUUAUGAGUGCUAUCAAAAGGCUGUUGAUAUCUCACCUUCAGUGGCAUAUGAACUAAUUCAGAUCAUCUACAAGAUGGACAAGUUUGGGCCAGGUGUUGAAUUUUGAUACUCUAUGCUACAACAGAACAGAGAACUAAAUCUUACAGGAUUUACUAUGCAAAUGCUUCUUGAGAUAUGUAUUCUGAGUGGGUGUGACUAUUCGCAGUCAUUGCCUGGAAUGGGCUUGAAAAAGGCUCAUGCACUAGUGAAAAAGUUCAAAUGUCAUGACAAGGUAAUCAAGCAUUUAAAAUACAGCACCGUUGCUGUAUCUCCUAGCUAUGAAGAAUCAUUUAAGAAAGCUGUACUGACUUUCCAGCAUCAACGAGUUUAGGACCCUAUGAUCGAAGAUAUUGUACAUUUGUCUGACCUACCUGAUAAUGUUGGCGAUGAUUUAGACUUCUUAGGCCAAUAUCCUUGAUUUAAUGCUAAUAGUAAUUUGAUGCUUUGCUACAUAUGUGGUUCCACUAUGUCUCAGUUUUUUUUGUAUCAAACCUUAACAAGGGACACAUCGAUACCUCAACAUAUAGAAAAAGGAAUAGCAAGAGGUGAUAUUAAACCUUUUAGUAGAAUGCCCUUUCAGGUAACAUAUUUUAUUUUUUUUCCCUCCUUGUAAUAGCAGUAAGAACUUAUUUUCUGAUUCUUUAAUAUUUUUAUGUCCUAAGCCACAUUUGUUUCUCUAGAAUCAAAAAUAUUGGUUUUGCUUUCACGUCACUUCUACUUCAUCAUGUCACUUCUUCUUUAGGGAAUAUACAUAAUUUCCUUUAGUUCAACUCAGGUGAAUGUUUUGUGCAGGGUGUAUACUUUAACAAAAUUAUGAGGAUGAAUUGUUUACAACCAUAUUGGUGUAAUAGGUGAAAGUGCUCUUCUUUAUGUCAUUCAGCCCUGCAGAAAUAUGCAUAAUUUCCUUUAGUUCAAUUGUGAUAAUGAAUUCUCCAUGCCACUCUGCCCUGGUGCAAUAUGCAUAAUUUGCUUUAGUUCAAUUUUGUGUUGGGAGUAUACGUAAACCAAUGAUAAGUUGUUUACAGCCAUAUUGGUGUGUGAAAUUAUUUAUGAAUAAGAUAAACAGAUAGGAUAGGUUAAUGAAAUCAACAAGGGCUUUAUCCAAACCUGGGUAGGAUACAUAGUUUUUUUUUAUUUUAUUUUAACAUUUGUCCCCAUCUAGAGCUAUUUUAGAUGGGAAGACAAAUUUGCACUAUAGUCCAUAGUGGAAUGAAUUCUAGAGAGAACACUAUGUUCAAGGGCUGCCUCCUUGAUUG